AUUUUUAGAACAAUAACUCACUUUGUGCCUUUCAUAAUUCCAGGCUCCAGUUUCCAUCCCACCUGAAAACACACCUGAAUCUACAGACAGGUCCACGAGGGGAAACGUCCCAUGGGAAAGAUGCAUUUUGCAGUGAAAAUCAGAUCAGAGCGUAUUCCAAAACAACAAAGAAAACAUGAACUGCUGAAACACUGCUGUUUUCUGCUGUAUUAAUUACAAGAGCUUAACGUGAUAAUAACAUUUAAAUAUUGCAGCUCUGUUAAAUGCAUCCACUGUCAUUUUAAAGUCAUGAAAUCAUCUUCUAUAAAUCCUUAUUUACACUUUACUAGCAGAUUAACCCUUAUGCCUCCCUCUGGCCUUUUUGCAUUUUUUUCUCAUCUCUUGAGUCCAUUUUUUAAAAUCCAAUGUCUUUUAUUCUUACAUGUUUUUAAAUCAUAUUAUCAUACAUCAAUAUUUUAUUCUGCUUUUUUUCAUAAAUCACUUAAAAACUUAAAACUUCCUCAAAACUAACAAACAUUCAAUCAUUUUCAGGAUUUGAACCCUUUACAGUAAAUACCUUACACUAUUUGAAUGAUUUAAUUAUUCAUCUCAAAACAUUAAUUCUUUUCCAUAUAAUAAUUAGUAGGGGGCUUUGAUAUUCAUUAGAGUCUUGAAUAUGUCCGAGAUUAGCAGCAAAAUUGAUUUGAUUGCAUCAGUAUUUUUUACGCAGUGUCAGAUACUCCCUCUGGACUCCAUCAUGGUCAAAAAUGCCUCAUUGACUUCCAUUAAAACCCAUUGUUUUUCUUCUAACUGCUAUUGCAGUGCAACACCAUGCAUUCUGUAAAGUCCGCAUUUCAUUUAGAAGAAAAGUAGUGAUUAUAUUAUGGAGCCGUGUGACUACCAGGGGCCCGAGAGGGGUGUGUGUAUAUCUGUGUAUCUGUGUGUGUAUCUGUACUUAUGCACUGAUAAUUUCAGGGUUAAAUAAAGGGUAACUUUUGAGGAA